rnacentral:rRNA from 1 species
GAUGAACGCUGGCGGCGUGCCUAAUACAUGCCAGUCGAGCGAACGGACGAGAAGCUUGCUUUUCUGAUGUUAGCGGCGGACGGGUGAGUAACACGUGGAUAACCUACCUAUAAGACUGGGAUAACUUCGGGAAACCGGAGCUAAUACCGGAUAAUAUUUUGAACCGCAUGGUUCAAAAGUGAAAGACGGUCUUGCUGUCACUUAUAGAUGGAUCCGCGCUGCAUUAGCUAGUUGGUAAGGUAACGGCUUACCAAGGCAACGAUGCAUAGCCGACCUGAGAGGGUGAUCGGCCACACUGGAACUGAGACACGGUCCAGACUCCUACGGGAGGCAGCAGUAGGGAAUCUUCCGCAAUGGGCGAAAGCCUGACGGAGCAACUCCGCGUGAGUGAUGAAGGUCUUCGGAUCGUAAAACUCUGUUAUUAGGGAAGAACAUAUGUGUAAGUAACUGUGCACAUCUUGACGGUACCUAAUCAGAAAGCCACGGCUAACUACGUG